AUAUUGCGCAAUGGGGGAAACCCUGACGCAGCGACGCCGCGUGAACGAUGAAGGCCUUCGGGUCGUAAAGUUCUGUCCUCAGGGAAGAAUAAAUUGACGGUACCUGAGGAGGAAGCCCCGGCCAACUACGUGCCAGCAGCCGCGGUAAUACGUAGGGGGCAAGCGUUGUCCGGAAUUACUGGGCGUAAAGGGUACGUAGGCGGCUAUAUAAGUCAGGUGUGAAAUACCAGUGCUUAACACUGGAAUUGCAUUUGAAACUGUGUAGCUUGAGUGCAGGAGAGGAAAGUGGAAUUCCUAGUGUAGCGGUGAAAUGCGUAGAGAUUAGGAGGAACACCAGUGGCGAAGGCGACUUUCUGGACUGUAACUGACGCUGAGGUACGAAAGCGUGGGUAGCGAAC
rnacentral:rRNA from 1 species